rnacentral:rRNA from 1 species
AUUGAACGCUGGCGGCAUGCCUUACACAUGCAAGUCGAGCGGCAGCGGAAAGUAGCUUGCUACUUUGCCGGCGAGCGGCGGACGGGUGAGUAAUGUCUGGGAAACUGCCUGAUGGAGGGGGAUAACUACUGGAAACGGUAGCUAAUACCGCAUAACGUCGCAAGACCAAAGAGGGGGACCUUCGGGCCUCUUGCCAUCAGAUGUGCCCAGAUGGGAUUAGCUAGUAGGUGGGGUAACGGCUCACCUAGGCGACGAUCCCUAGCUGGUCUGAGAGGAUGACCAGCCACACUGGAACUGAGACACGGGCCAGACUCCUACGGGAGGCAGCAGUGGGGAAUAUUGCACAAGGGGCGCAAGCCUGAUGCAGCCAUGCCGCGUGUAUGAAGAAGGCCUUCGGGUUGUAAAGUACUUUCAGCGGGGAGGAAGGUGUUGAGGUUAAUAACCUCAGCAAUUGACGUUACCCGCAGAAGAAGCACCGGCUAACUCCGUGCCAGCCGCCGCCGUAA